AUACAUGCUAGUCGAGCGGACCGACGGGAGCUUGCUCCCUUAGGUCAGCGGCGGACGGGUGAGUAACACGUGGGUAACCUGCCUGUAAGACUGGGAUAACUCCGGGAAACCGGGGCUAAUACCGGAUGCUUGAUUGAACCGCAUGGUUCAAUCAUAAAAGGUGGCUUUUAGCUACCACUUGCAGAUGGACCCGCGGCGCAUUAGCUAGUUGGUGAGGUAACGGCUCACCAAGGCGACGAUGCGUAGCCGACCUGAGAGGGUGAUCGGCCACACUGGGACUGAAACACGGCCCAGACUCCUACGGGAGGCAGCAGUAGGGAAUCUUCCGCAAUGGACGAAAGUCUGACGGAACAACGCCGCGUGAGUGAUGAAGGUUUUCGGAUCGUAAAACUCUGUUGUUAGGGAAGAACAAGUACCGUUCGAAUAGGGCGGUACCUUGACGGUACCUAACCAGAAAGCCACGGCUAACUACGUGCCAGCAGCCGCGGUAAUACGUAGGUGGCAAGCGUUGUCCGGAAUUAUUGGGCGUAAAGCGCGCGCAGGCGGUUUCUUAAGUCUGAUGUGAAAGCCCCCGGCUCAACCGGGGAGGGUCAUUGGAAACUGGGGAACUUGAGUGCAG
rnacentral:rRNA from 1 species